AAAGUGCAGAUUAUAUACUUCGUCUUAUUUGUAUCUGGACUUAUAGACCUCGCGCUGUAGACCUGGAAAACGGAUAAAGAAGAAAGCAAUACCGCUGAUGUACUUUACAAGAAUAAUAAAUAAGGAAUUAUGAUAUUUGGUGGAUCCGUGCACCACCAUCCUUAGACAAUGUUUUACGUACUGUUUAAAUGGUUCAGGUCCAAAGUCGCAAAGUAUCCUGCAUGCAAGAUGAAGUACUAACCAAUUUAGAACCAUGUCAGCAACACCGCGGACACAGUAGGUUUGUGGUGGUCACAACGUCAUGACUGUCAUUGGCUUCAUUUACAGAUAGCGGCUGCACUAUCCACUCCUAGCUUUGCGAUCAGGGAGAAUGACGUUGUUGCCGUUACUGUCUCAUCCCAGUGAACUCCAUGUCUUUUAUCUGGAACGAUAACAUGCGGGAGAAACGUGAAGCUAAUGCCAACACCACUUCACGCCAGCGUGGGAACGCGCGCUGCUUCGUAA